rnacentral:rRNA from 1 species
AUGUCUCCUAUCAUGUUCAACAUUGUCGUUGAUAUGUUGGCAAUCCUGAUAGGUCGGGCAAAGGAGGCCGGGCAAGUAGGUGGCUUGGUGCCUCAUCUUGUCGAUGGUGGUGUGUCCAUCCUGCAGUACGCUGAUGAUACAAUCAUCUUUAUGGAGCAUGACUUGGCUAAGGCGAGAAAUAUGAAGCUGGUAUUGUGCCUUUUCGAGCAAUUGACCGGUCUGAAGAUCAACUUCCAUAAAAGCGAGUUGUUCUAUUUUGGUAGAGCCAAAGAGGAACAAGAUGCAUACAAGCAAUUGUUUGGUUGCGAUUUGGGAGCGCUAUCGUUCACUUACCUAGGUAUCCCCAUUCACCAUCGUAAGUUGACUAACAGCGAAUGGAAGUGUAUCGAGGAUCGGUUUGAGAAGAAACUGAGCUGCUGGAAAGGCAAACUCAUGUCGUAUGGAGGCCGAUUGAUUCUCAUUAAUUCUGUGCUCACGAGUUUGCCUAUGUUUAUUUUAUCCUUUUUUGAAGUACUAGUUGGAGUUAGGAAAAGGCUGGACUUCUAUCGGUCACGUUUCUUUUGGCAGAGUGAUGAAAUUAAGAGGAAGUACUGUCUAGCCAAAUAG